rnacentral:tRNA from 1 species
GCCGACGUAGCUCAACGGUGGAGCGGCGGUUUUGUAAACCGUAGGUUGGGAGUUCGAAUCUCCCCGCCGGCUCCG